rnacentral:lncRNA from 1 species
ACACCUUCCCCCUAUCGGCGCCAAGCAGGUGGCCAGGCCCUCGGGACCUCGCGCCCCCGCAGCCAGUGGCCCGGCCAGCUCGUGCGUCACGUGACGCGGGUCAGCUGCACCGCCGGGACCUCCAGGCACCGCGGCGGCGACCGCCCAGCGCGUGGUCUCGAGAUCUCAUCUUUCCGCGCCCCUCCCCCCACGGUCCCGGAAAAGGGGGAGGCCGGUGACGUCAUCAUCCGGGUUCUUGUCGGCGGGGCUACGGUUCACAAUGGAACAAAAACAAGCGGCCCGAGUCAAACUAUGAGCGACGCGGCUGCGGCUCACGCGAUUAACCCUGUCGUGGCCACACACCCCGCCAGUCCCUGCCGCCCAGCCCCUCCCGAGUGGUGUGCCAGAUCUUUUCGGGCCUCCCUUCCCCAACUUCGGUCCUAGAGCCACCUCUGCCCUCGUCCCGCUCCUGAGCCGAGGGGCAUGGAACAGGAUUUCUGGCCGUAGCACGACCCUGAAGGGGCCAGCCGGAAGAAACAGUACUGCGCGAACAAUCUUUACCGCAUUGUCUUCCCCUCCCCCACCCUAGCUCUCCGGGUUCCCGGCGGCUCGCGCCGAAGCCCGGCCCCCUCAGCGGCUCGCGCUGCUCUCCCAGCCUUGACGGCCCGGGGUGGAGGGAGAGAAGAGGGGGCAGCUGAGCGGGAGGGGGCUGGGCAGGAGCAGGGGGA